UCACUCUGCAAAGAAAACAGACAGAAACACCAUGUUAUUUCAGGUUUUGAUAAAGCAGAGAGGUGUGUACCUUCAACAGCAUAUGUAUUAUACUACGGAGGAGUGAAAAUAGGUGCUAUGGCAGUAAAUCCAGGAGAUGCAACAGAUAGGUGGGUCAUAGGCAAGGCCAGGAGGAAGUCACAAGGAAGGUGGGACAAGGACCAUUCCCACUCGGUUUCUUGUGGGCUGCAAUCAUCUUACUAGAACUUUUUGCUGAGCUUGGAAGAAGGAAUAGAGGCCAGAGAGUACAGGUCAGCUCGACCACUUACUUCUAUGAAUCAUUUUUUACAGAAUUUUUACAGAACUUUGCAGACAUAUUUACACAAUCUUAGAGUGGAAGAAAUCAAACAUUCUGUAGGAAAAUCUGCCAUACAUAACAGUUUGUUUACUACUUUCUAAAAUAUUGGCUUGUCAUCAUCCUUGAUUCAAAGACAAAUUCAAAAACCAGAGCCAGUUAUCAACCCUUGGAAAAUAAUUUAUUAAAAACUACUGUCUUUUGUAAAAAACAUUCCUAGUGGACAUUUACUAUUCAUGAAUUGUGCUACCAAAAAAACCCUCAAAACAAAACCUCCAAAAAGACCCAUAAGUAGAUUCUCAGUUUACAUUUUUCUUCCCACCUUAAAGCAGGCACACUUUUCGUCCAAACUUCACUUGCAGGCUGAAGUGCUUCUAAGCAAGAAGGCUUUUAAAGCAAAAGAAAAUUCUAGCUCCAGUGUGGUCUUUUGGCAGGAGUGAAAUGAACAAUCCUGCUGCACAACAGGAUGGGGAGGUAGAGGGGCACCCCCAGCGCUGUGUGCAGUACUUUUGCCAAUUCAUUGUUCAGAAUAAUGCUGCUCUUGGGCAGGAAUGAAUGCUAUCCCUCCUCUCCCUUCAGUACAGGGAUUGCUCUGGAUUUCACCCCCAGGAUUAUCACGCACCUCUCCAGUAGGAGCCUGACCAUAUAAACCAAGCACUGAAAUCUGCAUUUCAUCCUUGAAUUGGGAGCAACAAUUUAAAUUAUAGGCACUGCUAGAAAGGAAAAAAGAAAUUUCUCUGAGAACCUCAAAAAUCAGGGGCAAUAACAGAAACAGUGAAGUUGGGUAUCACGCACCGGUAAAGAAGAUGAAGCAAAAAACAAGUUGUCUGAAAAUGUAGCCUGGAUUCUGGUGUUAUAUGCAUUUUCCUUUUUAUUUCUCAAUUUCACAUUGAAUGUUAGUCUUCUGUUUUUGCUGCUGACAAUAAACUGUUGUUUGCUGUUGGAAAA